AGUCGCCGCGGUAAUACGAAGGGGGCUAGCGUUGUUCGGAAUUACUGGGCGUAAAGCGCACGUAGGCGGAUAUUUAAGUCAGGGGUGAAAUCCCAGAGCUCAACUCUGGAACUGCCUUUGAUACUGGGUAUCUUGAGUAUGGAAGAGGUGAGUGGAAUUCCGAGUGUAGAGGUGAAAUUCGUAGAUAUUCGGAGGAACACCAGUGGCGAAGGCGGCUCACUGGUCCAUUACUGACGCUGAGGUGCGAAAGCGUGGGGAGCAAACAGGAUUAGAUACCCCCGUAGUCCCUGUCUCUUAUACC
rnacentral:rRNA from 1 species